rnacentral:rRNA from 1 species
CUACGGGAGGCUGCAGUCGAGAAUCUUCCGCAAUGCGCGAAAGCGUGACGGAGCAAUGCCGCGUGGUGGAUGAAGGCCUUCGGGUUGUAAACACCUGUCACAUGGGACGAACUUUGACGGUACCAUGAGAGGAAGCCACGGCUAACUACGUGCCAGCAGCCGCGGUAAUACGUAGGUGGCGAGCGUUGUUCGGAUUUAUUGGGCGUAAAGGGUCCGCAGGGGGUUUGUUAAGUCUGAUGUGAAAUCCCGGGGCUCAACCCCGGAACUGCAUUGGAGACUGAUGAACUAGAGUAUCGGAGAGGUAAAUGGAAUUCCUGGUGUAGCGGUGGAAUGCGUAGAUAUCAGGAAGAACACCGAGAGCGAAGGCAAUUUACUGGACGAUUACUGACCCUCAGGGACGAAAGCGUGGGUAGCGAACAGGAUUAGAUACCCUCGUAGUC